rnacentral:pre_miRNA from 1 species
UAUUUAGUAUAAGUAUGUCCCAUGCAGUAUUUAGGAUAUAUUUAUACGAAAA